rnacentral:lncRNA from 1 species
GUUGGUCAAGAGCUCUACGUAGCAUGAGCCAAGGAUCUAUUGAACUUAGUAGGCUCCUGUGACCGGUGACUCUUCUGUCUCUAGAAAUCUGGGGAGGUGACCAGGUCAUACAUGGCAGUCUUCCCGUGAGGAACGUUAAACUGGUUGGAAGUUGGGGUUCUGAGGGGAAGAUGUAUUCACUAGGUGACCUGUCUUCUCUGCCUCGGUGGCCUCCAUGGCUGCCUGCUGGCCGCACACCCCCACUCAGCAGAGGAAUGGACUUUCCAAUCUUGCUGAGUGUGUUUGACCAAAGGUGGUGCUGACUUAGUGGCCUAAGGUCGUGCCCUCCCUCCCCCACUGAAUCGAUAAAUAAUGCGACUUAUCAGAAAGAGAAAGAAUUGUUUACUUUUAAACCCUGGAUCCCAUAAAGGGAGAGGGGAGAGGCCUAAAGCCACAGAAGCUGUGGAAGGCGCCAUCCUGCCUGCCACAGGAAGGGCCUUGGACUGAGAGGACCGGAGCUGACUGGGGAUUAUUCAAAGCCAAAAGCCAACAGAGCCCCCAUGGAGAAGUGGAGGAUGCUCAGAUACUGCUAUGGAGCCCUGAGAAGUGAAAUGGGUCCAAGCCCUUGCCCAGGAUAGAGCGCUCCAAGCGCAUCCUCCGGGGACCCUUUUAAUCAGUGAAUUGUUCACCUCUCACUGUUUCUUCCCAGCAGAGCUAAGAGACUUCUAGAGCCUCUUGUGGAUGGUCAGCGAUAGCCCUGAUUGAACAUUUGAGCAAGACCAGAUGCCUUUAUAUCCAAUAGAUGCCACGGAGAGUAGAUCACAACACAUCUAACUGCUGUAUCCCCAUAUAAAAUAAUUUUAAUUUUCCUAGACUGCAGAA